AGGUGAACCUCCCCUCAGGUAGGGAUACCCGCUGAACUUAAGCAUAUCAAUAAGCGGAGGAA
rnacentral:rRNA from 1 species